GGGGAUUUAGCUCAGUUGGUGGAGUGCUUGUCUUGCAUGCACAAGGCUCUGGGUUCAAUCCCUAAUCCCCA
rnacentral:tRNA from 1 species